AGCCAGUUCUAAUACCCAGCUGGUUACGGACCCAGCUUCUUACAAAAAGGCUGCAUUUAGAUCACUAUUUAAAACAACACUCCUGUAUUGCACGGAACAGCAUGACAAGAAAAGUGAGCUUUAAUUUUAUAUACAAAACUGAGUACUGGCACGGCUAUAGAAAGCAACUCCUAAGAUGUAUCUAUACAGACAUAAAGAAGGCAUGGAACACCAGACUACUACUAGCCCAAAUGCGACCUCUCCAUCUAGGCAAGAUUUAUCUGUGCCAUAUCGACUCAGCGGCCUAAGAUUCACAAAAGAGAUAGCAAAGUUCAUAGGAAAAAUGUUAGCGCACUGGAGAACGACAAAUAUUUUCAACAGUCUGAGAAACGAAAAGGAUUGAAGAGAGGAUUUGGAGAAGCCUGGUGUUUAUAGAAUACUGCUCAAGUAUCAGGAUACCCAUCAAACAGCAGCAUACAUAGGUAUGAGCUUCUUACAAAAAGAACCAUUGACAACAAGACCCCUGUGACAGAGGCUUAAGGAGCAUAAGAGGGAUUUAGAGAAGGCAAAUCUUAACACUGCAUUAGCAACAGAGGCAUAUAAUGCAAGCCUAUGGGUGGAUUGGCAUAAUGCUAGAACUGUAAAGCCCUAAAAGAGUUGCAAGCCUUACUAACUGAAACUAUUGAAAUAACUAGAAGAUGGGAGAUAGAAAACCUUGUAAAUGAUAAGCCAACAAUUGACCUGCCACCAGCAUGGGAAUACAUCCCAAAAAUGACAAGCCAAUGAAGAAAGAACAAGCUGCUACAUAUUGAGUCUGCAAUACACUCCCCUUUGUAUUUUGAGUAUGGCUUAACUCCCAAGUACCCAACCCCAC
rnacentral:lncRNA from 1 species